rnacentral:tRNA from 3 species
GGGGAUGUAGCUCAGUUGGGAGAGCAUCACGUUCGCAACGUGAGGGUCGGGGGUUCGAAUCCCCCCAUCUCCACCA